UACAGAGGGGGCAAGCGUUGUUCGGAAUUACUGGGCGUAAAGGGCGCGUAGGCGGCCUUCUAAGUCAGACGUGAAAUCCCUCAGCUUAACUGGGGAACUGCGUCUGAUACUGGAUGGCUUGGAUCCGGGAGAGGGAUGCGGAAUUCCAGGUGUAGCGGUGAAAUGCGUAGAUAUCUGGAGGAACACCGGUGGCGAAGGCGGCAUCCUGGACCGGUAUUGACGCUGAGGAGCGAAAGCCAGGGGAGCAAACGGG
rnacentral:rRNA from 1 species